AAUGCAGUCGAGCGAAUGGAUUAAGAGCUUGCUCUUAUGAAGUUAGCGGCGGACGGGUGAGUAACACGUGGGUAACCUGCCCAUAAGACUGGGAUAACUCCGGGAAACCGGGGCUAAUACCGGAUAACAUUUUGAACCGCAUGGUUCGAAAUUGAAAGGCGGCUUCGGCUGUCACUUAUGGAUGGACCCGCGUCGCAUUAGCUAGUUGGUGAGGUAACGGCUCACCAAGGCAACGAUGCGUAGCCGACCUGAGAGGGUGAUCGGCCACACUGGGACUGAGACACGGCCCAGACUCCUACGGGAGGCAGCAGUAGGGAAUCUUCCGCAAUGGACGAAAGUCUGACGGAGCAACGCCGCGUGAGUGAUGAAGGCUUUCGGGUCGUAAAACUCUGUUGUUAGGGAAGAACAAGUGCUAGUUGAAUAAGCUGGCACCUUGACGGUACCUAACCAGAAAGCCACGGCUAACUACGUGCCAGCAGCCGCGGUAAUACGUAGGUGGCAAGCGUUAUCCGGAAUUAUUGGGCGUAAAGCGCGCGCAGGUGGUUUCUUAAGUCUGAUGUGAAAGCCCACGGCUCAACCGUGGAGGGUCAUUGGAAACUGGGAGACUUGAGUGCAGAAGAGGAAAGUGGAAUUCCAUGUGUAGCGGUGAAAUGCGUAGAGAUAUGGAGGAACACCAGUGGCGAAGGCGACUUCUCUGGUCUGUAACUGACACUGAGGCGCGAAAGCGUGGGGAGCAAACAGGAUUAGAUACC
rnacentral:rRNA from 1 species